UUGGCUUCAAAUUUGUGUUAUUUCCGCUUCCACUUUUUAGUGUGGUUUGCAAUUUUCAAUUGAAGCCUAGAAUUGUGUUCCCCUCGCUAUCCGAUGCUCCAAAUUGAUGUUGCAUUUGGACGUCGGGGAACAAAAUUU
rnacentral:snoRNA from 1 species